CUCGUUCUCGAGGCGGGAGCUGAGGUGCGGGGUGGGGCCUCCAACCGUGCAGCCCGCCCCUGACGCCGCCGGUAACUGCGACAGUCGGGGUCGGUGCGGUUUGCUAAGUGGUCGGUUCCUGGAGCUGCGGUCUUCUGCUAGCCUGAUCCGCAGCUUCAGCCUCCGCCGCCUCCUCAGCCCUCGGCGCCGCCGCCUGACCCGCAGGCCGCCGCGGGCCGCAGAGCCCAUGAGGGCGCGGGCACCGCCGCCGCCUCCGCGGCGUCGCCGUCGUCCCGGAGCGCCCCGAGCUGGCGCGGGCAUGGCCGCGGCAUGAGCGUGGAGCCGCCGCCGGAGCUGGAGGAGAAGGCGGCGUCGGAGCCCGAGGCGGGAGCCAUGCCGGAGAAGCGCGCGGGCGCGCAGGCCGCGGGGAGCACCUGGCUACAAGGCUUUGGCCCACCAAGUGUGUACCAUGCUGCUAUUGUCAUCUUCCUUGAAUUCUUUGCGUGGGGCCUUUUGACAACUCCAAUGUUGACUGUUCUACAUGAAACAUUUUCUCAACACACAUUCCUCAUGAAUGGUCUCAUUCAAGGUGUAAAGGGCCUGCUCUCUUUUUUGAGUGCCCCACUCAUUGGUGCCCUGUCUGAUGUGUGGGGGAGGAAGCCCUUUCUCCUCGGCACUGUAUUCUUUACCUGCUUCCCAAUCCCACUGAUGAGGAUCAGCCCAUGAAGUUUUCAUGGGCUGAGCUGCUGAGUUCAGCCUGGGAACUGAGGCCAACAAGGGAGUCUCCUCGGCACACAAGUUUGAAAGAAGUCCUGGUGACUUCAAGCUCAGAACCAUGGACGGCAGGGCUCCCUCUGGAUGUGGAAUUCUCCGUCCCUUUCCAGGGAGGGAACAAAGCCCACAGCACCGAGACUCCUUCAGGGUGAGCAAAGGCCUGGAAACCUGUAUGCAGUUAAAGAAAAGGAAAGAAAGAGAUAAUCAGUGCAUGCAGUUGUCAGCUGGCUGGGACCUGAGGAGAGUCACUUGUGGAGGCAACUGGUCUUUAUCCCUAUUGUCCGGUACAAGGCAGGCAUUAAUCCUGUGAUCCUUAUCUGAAGCUCAGGCUAAAUAGGGGAGUAGAAUGGGAAUGUGAUAAAAAGUACCACCUCUGCAUCCUUCAAGUCCUUGAUGGUGGUACUAAUCUCUGCAAGCUCUACAAGAAUGCAGUAUUGUUUUUGGUUUGCUGUUUUUCUAGAUAGAGGCAGGUAAGUGGCUUCCACUUUAUAGCGUAAUUGCCCUCACUCUUCAGGUCAGGAAACCAGUGUAGGGAUUCUGCUAAUUGUUGAGUAUGUCUAUUCCAAUUAUUCUGCAGCUACAGAGAUAACAAGACGACCCACUGCAAGACAGACCUAAACUAAAACUCCAUUGAUCACCUAACCUCCCUAAGCCCCUACUCUCACUUGUGAACCAGAGUGAUGCAUUAGUUUUCCUGGGGUACCCUGAGUCUGAGUUCAGAACCAAUGUCCAGUAAUUCCCCCAAAGUCUGAUUAUUCCCUUUUCCCCAAUGCACAGUCAACUUGGUAAAGUGCUAUAGGUCCCUUUGGGGAAGGCUGAGAGAAAAAUGAACAGUAUACAAUUUUGGUAAUGCAGUGGGGACACAGCCUCCUCAUUAUUUAAGGAGAUAUGGGUCUGCAAACUGGCCCAAGUCUUGGAAUUGAUUCAGGAGCUGUGACUCCGUUUUUUUGAUUCGAGUUAGACUUUUAUUCACUUGAUUCUUCUUUUUAUACAGAACAGAUAAGAAUUUAGUAGGCUUUCCAUCUCUUUUAUUUCUAUGGAUACUAUGACCAGCUAGCUAAUGCCAUAAGUCUCUGUAAAUCGGACUUUCUAACUACAGUUUUGACUUUACUGUCCAUUACAGUAACCAUGUUCACCUUGUCUUUGGUGAUUAAAUGCUGCCACUUGGCCCCUGCCAUCCUGGGAUCCAGUUACUCUCCUUAUACUUAAGAAUCCCAUUCAGUGGCAGCAGUUCCCACUGUAAUUUCUGACCUAUACAGAAGAGCAACCACAGAGCUCUUUAAAAAUAUUGGAACUCCCUCACAAAUUUAUUUCUCAUAGUCAUAACAGAAAGUGUGUCCUGAGCUAGAUGUGGUAGCUCACACCUAUAAUCCCAGCACCUUGGGUGGCCAAGGUAGGAGAAUCGCUUGAGCUCAGGAGUUUGAAGCCUGCUUGGGCAACGUAGCAAGACCUUGCCUCUAUAAAAAUUUUUAAAAUUAGCCAGGUAUGAUGGUGCAUAUAGUCCCAGCUACUCAGGAGGCUGAGGCAGGAGGGUCUCUUGAGCCCAGGAGUUUGAGGGUACAGUGUGCUAUGGUCACACCACUGCACUCCAGCCUGGGCAAUAGAGUGAGCCCUGACUCUAAAAAAUAAUAAUAAAUAGAAAAAGAAAGCAUGUCCUCUUGUUAAAGAUUUUUCAAUGACACUUGUUCAAGGAUGGUAAGGCUGACUUUUUCAAGAUCAUCAGAAUAGAUACAGGGACCAAUGCAAUAGCAUUUUACAGCGAGGGAGAGAGAUUGGGCUCAACUCUGAAUACAGUUUGGGUAAGUGGGAAUUUAUUGCCAAGGAGUAGGGUGGGGGUCAGUGGAUUGAAAAUUACUAAGAGGAAACUUCAAGAGUAAGGAAAGAUUCUGGCUUAACUGACCUAACAGGAUUCUUGCUGAAAACAGGCUGGGGUGUUGAGACACUACCUGGGAGAUGGUGGAGGAUGAAGCCCUGAUCAGAUAUGGAGGAUGAUCAGAUAUUGAGCAUGGAGGUUCUUUUUUUUUUUAUGCUUUAAGUUCUAGGGUACAUGUGCACAACGUGCAGGUUUGUUACAUAUGUAUACAUGUGCCAUGUUGGUGUGCUGCACCCAUCAACUCGUCAUUUACAUUAGGUAUUUCUCCUAAUGCUAUCCUUCCCCCCUCUUCCCAUCCCACAACAGGCCCCAGUGUGUGAUGUUCCCCGCCCUGUGUCCAUGUGUUCUCAUUGUUCAAUUCCCACCUAUGAGUGAGAACAUGCGGUGUUUGGUUUUCUGUCCUUGUGAUAGUUUGCUCAGAAUGAUGGUUUCCAGCUUCAUCCAUGUCCCUACAGAGGACAUGAACUCAUCAUUUUUUUUUUUUUUUUUUUUUGAGACGGAGUCUCGCUCUGUCACCCAGGCUGGAGUGCAGUGGCGCGAUCUCCGCUCACUGCAAGCUCCGCCUCCCGGGUUCACGGCAUUCUCCCGCCUCAGCCUCCCGAGUAGCUGGGACUACAGGCGCCCGCCACCGCUCCCGGCUAAUUUUUUGUAUUUUUAGUAGAGAAGGGGUUUCACCGUGCUAGCCAGGAUGGUCUCGAUCUCCUGACCUCGUGAUCCACCCACCUCGGCCUCCCAAAGUGCUGGGAUUACAGGCGUGAGCCACUGCGCCCGGCCUUGAACUCAUCAUUUUUUAUGGCUGCAUAGUAUUCCAUGGUGUAUAUGUGCCACAUUUUCUUAAUCCAGUCUAUCAUUGAUGGACAUUUGGGUUGGUUCCAAGUCUUUGCUAUUGUGAAUAGUGCUGCAAUAAACGUACAUGUACAUUUGUCUUUAUAGCAGCAUAAUUUAUAAUCCUUUGGGUAUAUACCCAGUAAUGGGAUGGCUGAGUCAAGAUGGUAUUUCUAGUUCUAGAUCCCUGAGGAAUUGCCACACUGUUUUCUACAAUGGUUGAACUAGUUUAUAGUCCCACCAACAGUGUAAAAGUGUUCCUGUUUCUCUACAUCCUCUCCAGCACCUGUUGUUUCCUGACUUUUUAAUGAUCAGAUAGCCUCCUAUUUUUUAACUAUGAGUUGGAAUUUGCUGCUUUUGAUAUGAUAAGAAAGUUCAAAGUUUCUCUUCCUUGCUUUGUUGUGUGUUCUAAUUCUUUUCUGCCCAUCCCCCAGUAAAGAAAAGGCUCAGUAUGAUUUCUUGAAUAGAUUGUUUAAGCUAUUUUCAAAACAGGACUUGGUCAGGGGCAGGUAGUCUUAAAUGUUCAGAAGCCACUGGAUGGAAAAUUGUGAGCACAUAAGUGUUUUUCUUGGUCAACCAUGUCAUUUUAUAGCCAAAGUUUGACUUGACAUACUGGAAUUAAUCCACACGACUUUGAAAAGAAUAAACUCUUUAAAAAGAGAGUGAGCGCUCCGAGGGUGUUAUGAGAGUCACUGUCUGAAACCCUAUUGAUCAUAUUGUGGCAGAAGAAAUAGAGUCCUGCCAUGAAUUAUACUUUUCAGGUUAAAAAAAAAAAAAGCAAUUUGUAGGACAGUUUGAAUAAUUUAGUACAAUUGUUAAAAAUACAGACAUGCACAUUCCUGUAUGUGCAUUUUUAAAUGUUCACGAAUGAUAUAAGCCAGAUAUAUUUCUUAGAGGUGCUUGAAAAAAGUUAUUUCUUCUUGGGCUUUAUUAUCUCAAUUUAAAAAAAUUAAGAUGCAUAAUUCUCAUAAGAUAACAGAUUCAGAAGAAUAUAGUUCAAGAAAAAAAAUUAAAGAACUCAUAAAGGAGAAGGAGGAGGAGGAAGAGAGUGUGAAACAGGAGCCUCAGAUAACUUGGUAAAGGCAUGUCUCCCAUUUGGGAACUGAUGUUCCUAAGAUCCGCACUGACGCUGCUCAGCCGGUCCAUCACACAGCAAAGGCGUGAGGAAGGGUCACUGCCCAGCUGGACUCCAGGGUGGUCCACGCAUGACAGUCACACCGAACCUUCAUGAGGAUGUGAACUGUUGGCUCCAAUUUACCAUUCCCAGCAAUUCCACUCAGAUAUUUGUAUACUAAUGUUCACAGCAGCGUGAACUCCACAGCAGGUGGAGUAAUGUUCCAUUGUGUGCAUAUGCCACAUUUUGUUUAUCCAUUCAUCUGUUGAUGCACAUUUCGGUUGUUCCCACCUUUGGGCUAUUAUUAAUAAUGCUGCUGUGAACAUUCCCAAGAGAAAUAGGAAGACGGCUUUGCUAAGAACUAAAAAAGGGAUGGACAACAAGGGCAUAUACCCAGGGGCAGUGUUCUAUCAUGACAGCUUUACUGAGAGCAGAGUAGUUCUGCUCAGAAUCAGAACACUUGUUCCCUAUAGCCCCCCUGAUUGCCCCACAACCACCACCGCAUACUCCCCUUUUCCCAACCAUGGGCAGCAGAUUGAGCUAUUAACAGAAGUGUCCUUUCGCUGGAUUUCUCAACCCUUUCCUCAUCGUCCACAUAGAGAAACAGUAACAGAUUGCUACUCACCCAACACCCAGGUCAAGUCCAAUGCAGGUAGGAAUAACAGCAAAUCCUUCAAUUUCUUGAUUCUGCUCUUAAAAAUCUUAACAGAGGCCGGGCACGGUGGCUCACGCCUGUAAUGCCAGCAUUUUGGGAGGCCGAGGCGGGUGGAUCACCAAGACCAGCCUGGCCAAGAUGGUGAAACCCCGUCUCCACUAAAAAUACAAAAAUUAGCCAGGCGUGGUGGUGGGCACCUGUAAUCCCAGGUACUCGGGAGGCUGAGGCAGAGAAUUGCUUGAACGCGGGAGGCAGAGACUGCAGUGAGCCGAGAUCACACCACUGCACUCCAGCCCAGGUGACAGAGCAAGACUCCAUCUCAAAAAAAAAAAAAAAAGACUUAACAGAGCAUUUCACGGGGAAGGGCCAUGAGGGAACAUCACCUGGGUGAUGGUAACAUUCUGUAUCUUGAUAAGGAUUUGAGUUAUACAAGUAUAUACAUCUGUCAAAAUUCAAAGAAUGUACACUCAAGAUCUGUGCAUUUCAUUAUAUGUAAAUGUUACAUUAAAAUGUUGUAAACAAAUAUUGAACAAAUAUACGCAUGCUAAAGUAUUUAAGAGGAAGUACUGGUGUCUGCAAAACAAAAAUUUUUUUUCCAUUUUCUGUGGUAAAAUAUACAUAAUAUAAAUGUAUUAUUUUAAGUGUACAAUUCAGUGGCAUUAAAUACACUCAGAAAGUUGUGCAAACAUCCCAUUUAUUCAUUUCCACAGAUUUUUUAAUUCUCAUUCCAAACAGAAGCCCUGUACCCAAAGAGCAAUAACUCCGCAUCCUCCAAUCCCCACUCUCUGGUAACCUCUAUUCUACUUUCUGCCUCUAUGAAUUUGCCAAUUCUAGGUACCUCAUAUAAGUGGAAUACAGUAUUUAUCCUUUUGUGUCUGGCUUCUUUCACUUAGCAUAAUAUUUUCAAGGUUCAUUCAUGUUUUACAUGUAUCAGAAUCUUGUUUUUUCAGGUGGAGUAAUGUUCUAUUGUGUGCAUAUGCCACAUUUGGUUUAUCCAUUCAUCAGUUGAUGCACAUUUCGGUUGUUCCCACCUUUGGGCUAUUAUGAAUAAUGUUGCUGUGAACACUGGUAUACAAAUAUCUGAGUGGAAUUGCUGGAUCAUAUGGUAAUUCUGCAUUUAACUUUUUAAGGAACUGCCAAACUGUUUUCCACAGAGCUGUAACAUUUUACAUCCAAACCAGCAAUAGGACCUGGAUAAAAGGUGGCUAAGGCACAGUUAAAUAAAAUACUGUUAGUUACUGCCCAUUUGCAUUGGGUUUCUAGUGGCAAAUAAUCUAGCCGUGUCCUUGACUGGAUCUCCCAAUGAUUCUUUUCAGUCAUUUGAAUGAGUAUGGUGGUGGUGACACUGGCAGGAGGCUGGAGGGUACUUUAAUUAACACGCGAACACACACAAAUCCAUUGCACCCCACUAAGCCGCCCAAACACACAUGAAACACAAAAACUAUCCUUGCUAGGGAAACACAGCCCUGGAACAAACCCCCUGGACCCCUUGUCACCACCAGCCCAUCCUGUAAGAAAAUGAUGGUUGAAGCUGCAGUGACAGAAUUGGAGAGAUGCUCUGUUAGACAAGUCUGUCAGCUGAAAGGGGCAGAAACCAUUGUUGAACUGCUUAUAUGAGAGGAAGACCUGGGUGGCACAGGCCUGGCUGGACGCAGGGCUCACAGAGCGUCAUCAGCACUUCAUCUCUUCCCCUGCGGGACCUGCUGUCCUCUGCGUUGCACACACCCCCCGCCAGGCUCAUCCCUGUAUCCUCCUUGGAGGAAAGUGCCAGGCUGGUGCUACUUGGCCCUGCCUGGGUCACACGCCUGCCUCGGGAUGUGGAGGAUGGUCAGCCCAGCCACAGCACAUGGAUUGCUAUGUGAAGGAUGAUGUUCCACAAGAAAACCAGGACGGCUUCACCAGGGAGGCAAGAGCAGCAGAUGCCCAUGACAGAGGGUGUAUACUCUGAAUAAAAGAAUUUGGAUUUUUAAAAAGAGACAGGAAGAAAAGGACUUCCAAACUCUAGAAAGUUUAAAACUAGUAGAAUGAAACAUAUUGUGUAUAAAUGUAAAGCUCUUUGUUGAGAUUAAAUAUACGUAUCAGUUAAAUUUUAUUUAAACAUAUAUAUACACAUAUACACACACACACAUACAUAUAUAUGACCCAAGUACAGGAUAAAGAUGAAAUUAAUAAGUACUCUUUAAAAAUCUUAGUUUUGGGGCUGGGCGCGGUGGCUCACGCCUCUAAUCCAAGCACUUUGGGAGGCCAAGGCGGGCGGAUCACCUGAGAUCGGUAGUUCGAGACCAGCCUGACCAACGUGGAGAAACCCUGUCUCUACUAAAAAUACAAAGAAUUAGCCGGACGUGGUGGCGCAUGCCUGUAAUCCCAGCUACUCGGGAGGCUGAGGCAGGAGAAUCGCUUGAACCCGGGAGGCGGAGAUCGCAGUGAGCCAAGAUGGUGCCAUGUCACUCCAGCCUAGGCAACAAGAGCAAAACUCCAUCUCAAAAAAAAAAAAAAUUAGUUUUGGGAUACCAGUAAUUUCAGUAUUAUUAACAACCUGACUUGGGCACCCCAAAAGUUUGCAAUAAUGGCAUUAAAUGGCUGGAUAGAGAAAGAGAUGGUGGCGUGAAUGCCUGCUUCCUGGUGUCAUGUCUGGAAUUUCAUGUCCAGUCCUGAAAGCUGCAUUUUAGGAAGGGUGCUACUGAGCGUCCAGAGAAGACAGCAUUUCGCUUGGUGAAGGGAGUGGGCUUAUGAUGCAUGGCAGGAGGAGUAAUGUAGAAAGAAAUAAGCUUUGCGGUGCAUAGUGUAGAGAAAUUCCUGCUUUGCGUCAAACAGACUGACCAGGCAGGCCUCACAGUUUUGCAAAGCCCUGGAAGCACAGGCUUGGCUGCAGAUGUUGGAUGACUUUCCAGACCAGUUUUGGAAAAAGCUCUUGAGGAUCAGAAGCUCCUGGGAUUUCUGUUAUCACCUGAUUUCAUGGAGAGAGACAGUCCAGGGCCGGGAAUUAUGUGGCAUCUAUGUGUUCCCCAGUUGUGGGAUCCAUCUGGCCGAUGGUUAUGGUGGUCAGUGACUUUCAGAGGCCUGGAAUUCAUGACAGAUGCUUUUGCUAAUGUGCUUGGUGCCCCACUGAGGCUGCUGAGCAGUGCUUACCAUGCGCCCGAUGUCUCUUCUGUGUGCCUCUGAGAGCAAAAGUGGCCUCAGAGUCUGAAGGAGGGCAAAGUGGCCACAGCUGCAGACACAAAGUCCAGACUAGCUCUUGACCACAUCCAAGUGCAUCCUGCAUUAAGCUCAGGCACAUCAAACCUGCCCAAUCAAGGUCUGCCAAAGGAAGGAGUCUGCAAAUGACAUUUCUCAUAAUCAAACACACUCUUAAUUUGUUUUUAUAUUAUUCACUCCAUUUUUUGAUUAUUAUAACUUUUAAAAUUAUGUCUAGUAGUUUUAUCAAUUGCUGAGAAGAGUGUUGAAGUCCAACUUACAAUUGUGGAUUUGUUGAUUUCUUCUUUCAGCUUUAUUGGUUUUGGUUUAUGCAUUUUAAGGCUCUGCUCUUGGUGUGUACACAUGUAAAACCAUUUUGUCUUCAUAGUAAAUUAAUUUUUAAAAAUCAUUAUGUAAUGUCCCUCUUUGCUCCAGUAAUUCUUUGCUCUGAGGUCUACUGUAUUAGUAUUAAUAUAGCGACUUCUACUUUUAAGUUAAUAUUUGCAUGGUACAUUUAUUUUAAUGCUUUUCAUUUUCUUUUUUUUUUUCUUUUUUUAUUAUACUGUAAGUUUUAGGGUACAUGUGCACAACAUGCAUGUUAGUUACAUACAUAUACAUGUGCCAUGUUGGUGUGCUGCACCCAGUAACUCGUCAUUUAACAUUAGGUAUAUCUCCAAAUGCUAUCCCUCCCCCCUCCCCCCACCCCACAACAGGCCCUGGUGUGUGAUGUUCCCCUUCCUGUGUCCAUGUGUUCUCAUUGUUCAAUUCCCACCUAUGAGUGAGAACAUGUGGUGUUUGGUUUUUUGUCUUUGCAAUAGUUUGCUGAGAAUGAUGGUUUCCAGCUUCAUCCAUGUCCCUGCAAAGGACAUGAACUCGUCAUAUUUUAUGGCUGCAUAGUAUUCCAUGGUGUAUAUGUGCCACAUUUUCUUAAUCCAGUCUAUCAUUGUUGGACAUUUAGGUUGGUUCCAAGUCUUUGCUAUUGUGAAUAGCGCUGCAAUAAACAUACGUGUGCAAGUGUCUUUAUAGUAGCAUGAUUUAUAAUCCUUUGGGUAUAUACCCAUUAAUGGGAUGGCUGGGUCAAAUGGUGUUUCUAGUUCUAGAUCCCUGAGGAAUCGCCACACUGACUUCCACAAUGGUUGAACUAGUUUACUUUUCAUUUUCAGUCUACCUAUGUCAUUGUAUUUCAAGUGAGUUUUUGUAGAUCCAGCAUAAUGUUGUAUCAUGUUUGGUUUUUUGUUUUUUAGUCCACUCUGCCAAUCUCUGUCUUUUAAUUACUGUACGUAGACCACUUGAAGAAUUGCCUUGUAGCAAUUCUGAUAUAUGAGGGCUGAAGUCUGCCAUUUUGUUAUUUG
rnacentral:lncRNA from 1 species